UACAGGGGGUGCAAACGUUGCUCGGAAUUAUUGGGCGUAAAGCGCACGUAGGCGGUUGCUUAAGUCGGAUGUGAAAGCCCUUGGCUCAACCAAGGAAGUGCAUCCGAAACUGAGCAGCUGGAGUACGAAAGAGGGUCGCGGAAUUCCCAGUGUAGAGGUGAAAUUCGUAGAUAUUGGGAGGAACACCGGUGGCGAAGGCGGCGACCUGGGCCGAUACUGACGCUGAGGUGCGAAAGCGUGGGGAGCAAACAGG
rnacentral:rRNA from 1 species